rnacentral:rRNA from 2 species
CAGCCGCCGCGGUAACACCAGCCCCUCGAGUGGUGGGGAUGAUUAUUUGGCCUAAAGCGUCCGUAGCCGGCCGGAUAAGUUUCCCGUUAAAUCUAACGUCUCAAGCGUUGGACCGCGGGAGAUACUACACGGCUAGAGAGUGGGAGAGGUCAGCGGUAUUCUGGGGGUAGGGGCGAAAUCCUUUGAUCCCCGGAGGACCACCAGUGGCGAAGGCUGCUGACUAGAACACGCCUGACGGUCAGGGACGAAAGCUGGGGUAGCGAACCGGAUUAGAUACCCGGGUAGUCCCAGCCGUAAACGAUGCAUGCUAGGUGUUGGGUUGGCCACGAGCCACCCCAGUGCCGCAGGGAAGCCGUUAAGCAUGCCGCCUGGGAAGUACGAUCGCAAGAUUGAAACUUAAAGGAAUUGGCGGGGGAGCAC